rnacentral:lncRNA from 1 species
AUAUUCUUAGGCUUCUUGCUUGCUGGUGUGGCAGCAACUGGCGUGGAGUCACCAGACUCAGAGCUUUCUUCCUCCUUUGCUUUUCUCUUCUUUUCAGAGAUCUUUCUGCUGCUUUCUGUUGUAGUUAACCUUCUGUUUUCCUUUGGGUUUUUCUUCCAGUUUAUGAACAGUUGAGGAGACAUAAUUUUGUGAACAUUAAGAAUCUCGCCCUCAUCAUCCAUGAUUUUAUUCUUCAACUUUUUCUUCAGGAUGAUACUUAAGAAUCUCC